rnacentral:lncRNA from 1 species
CCUGUCUUCUGGGCUCUACAGUUACACCCUUGGGUGACCAAGCAUGGAGAGGAGCCCCUCCCUUCAGAGGAGGAACACUGCAGUGUGGUAGAGGUGACUGAGGAGGAGGUGAAGAACUCAGUCAAGCUCAUCCCCAGCUGGACCACUGUGAUCCUGGUCAAGUCUAUGCUGAGAAAGCGUUCCUUUGGAAACCCAUUUGAGCCCCAAGCACGCAGGGAAGAAAGAUCUAUGUCUGCGCCAGGAAACUUACUGUUGAAAGAAGGAUGUGGAGAAGGGGGCAAAAGCCCAGAGCUUCCCGGAGUCCAGGAAGAUGAGGCUGCAUCCUGAGUCCCUGCAUGUGCCCAGGGCCAUCGGCAGCAUGCUCAUUCCGCUCCUCCAGAGGCCCACCGCCCUCAUGCAAUCAUCGCCCCUGCAGGCAGGGGGCUGGGGACUGCAGCCCCUCUCCUGGCCCCCCUCACCCAUUGUGCUGCAUGACCUGCGCACAGGCAUAUCCAGGGACAGGAUUGGAAUGUGUAUCAUUUGGGGCUCGGGGGUCCCGGUUGGUUCUCUCUGUUCUGAUCUAUCUUGUGGGGAAUAUUAGAAACCCUACCUGACUGGCUGGUGAGGCCCAGGGCAGAAGGCAAGAGACCAAAAUAGCAGGUGGAGACCUGGUGGGCUGCUUCUCAGAGAACUCCCAUAGUGAUCGGUGGCCUGCCCAGCUGCUGCACACGAGGAGUGAUUGUGUCACUUCUGUGUGGA